AGCCUCCUGAAUCCGUGCAGAGAUUUCGUCAGACACCAACCUAUUAGGGCUGAUGAGACUUCCAAGAUAUGUGAAGUU
rfam:Schistosoma mansoni strain Puerto Rico chromosome 1, complete genome